CAACAGUGAUCCUUGAGACAUGGGACUUGGGCAAGUCAACUUUUUUUUUUCUCUUCAAUAAGAACAUUCUAAGAACUAGGGCUUCCACUGGGAUUUCCUGAAGAUAAUGUGUGGUGGUGAAGUUAAUGAUGUAUUAAAACUGCUACAUAAAAAUGUCACAACUUUGAAGACAGUGCAAACAGGAAGAUCUUCAGAGAAAGGUCACCAGUUAUCAGAAAACUUAUCUGGAAAUGAAGCCCCAACUAAGCAAGAAAUUAGUCUGCUGAGGAUUACAUAAAAAUUAUUCUUUCUCAUUGUUCUUUUUGACAUCUGAGAUGCAUAAUUUGAAUCUAACAAAAAAGCAUGCAAAGGCAGAGUAUCAUUAUGACUCCAGCAGACAUAUAUAAACUGAAGACUAGGUGGAGCAUAACUAAGGAGGUAUAUGUGUAAAAUAUGUACUUAAUCUUGAACAAAGGAAAAAAAAAUCAGAUAGUCUCUGAGAAUCAUACCCAUAUCCAGUGAAAAGAAAAGGAAAAGGCACUUGGCAGAAUACUGGGAAAGCAGAGUCCUUUUCAUCAGGAAAACGAAGCUUUUCUAGAAGCUCUAGCUUUUCCAGAAGCACCUCCUCUUAUGCCUCAUUGAUCAUAAUUCAGUUGCAUGAGCAGUCUUCCCUCAGGGGAAACUGGUAAACUGUCUUUUUCAAAUAGUGCUGCCUCAGGAUGGAGUUCAAGAUGGCAUACUAGAGACAUCUCCUCACCAGCCUCUCUUGGGAAGAUCCAGUCCCAUGAGAUGAAUGCUAUUGUCCUCAUUUUACAGAAGAGGAAACUGAAGCUCAGAGAAGGAAAUGAAUCCAGGAGCUGCGUAAGCCUAUCUGACACGAGGAGCAUGGGAUGCCUUGGCUCCUCAAGUGGGACCUUGAACCACAGAAAUAGAAAGCUCGUGAUGUUCUCAAGCACACACUGCCUCCAAGGUCCUGUGCUGGCUUCUACCACUACCUCCUGUGGUGUAACCCUGUGAUGUCCUUGAAACACUCCUACUAUAGAUGAGGUAGAAGAAUGUGAAGCCCAGAGAUGCCACGUAGCCUUGUUUCCCUGCAGCAGCGAGGCCAGUCUGUCUCCAGAGUGCUGGGAAUCAACUCAGAAAGGAUGACUCUGUGGUACGACUGCAGCCAAGCCUGUGUCAUACCAAGUGCCUCUCCCUGAGCACUUCCAGGGAGAAAACUUCAUUUCCCUCCCCCCAGACAAUGCAGUCUUUUGGAGUCCUCAGCAGGAUUGGUACUGCUUCCUAGAAAGCACAUUGGAAACCUGUAGGCCUAUUGUUUGUUGUCAUUGAAGGCACAGUGUCUUGUACUUAGUAGGUGGGGUUUGUGGAGGAGGGUGUUAAGUGGGACUCUCUAAUAUCCUAGAGCAGUGGUUCUCAACCUGUGGGUGGCCACCCCUUUGUAACAAUGAAAAUACAUCUGCAUAUCAAAUAUUUACAUUAUGAUUCAUAACAGUAGCAAAAUUACAGUUAUGAAGUAGCAACAAAAAUAAUUUUAUUUUGGGGGGGUCACCACAACAUGAGGAGCUGUAUUAAAGGGUCACGGCAUUAGGAGGCAUUAGGAAGGUCGAGAACCAUUGCCCUACCGAGUCCCAUGCUCUGAAAUGUCCUUGUUCCUGCAAGACUUCCAGAUGUCAUUCAGAUUUUCUUGCAAGUGCAAACACCGUUUAUACUUACCCAUGUUUUGAACUUAACUCUUACAUACCAAGUAUAAAAUAUUUUCCCCAAGGUUUCCUUAUUUUCUUAUUUUCUAGGAUUGCAGCUACUAGGUAAAUGUAAGAAAACUGUACUUCAUUAUUUGUUUGUUUAGAACUUUACCAAGAGUCUUUUAUGGACCUAGCCUGACACUGAAAAACCCAUUGCUUGUAGCCAUUCAAUUCUCAUCACGGUGUUUGAGCUGCUGGCACCAUGUACCUGUACCAGGGCAUUGUCAGUUCCUGAGUUCACGCCAGUGCACCGUGUGUUAAUGAUGUUUUCUAGUGAAGUCAUU